rnacentral:misc_RNA from 1 species
GAUGAAGAACGUAGCGAAAUGCGAUAAGUAAUGCGAAUUGCAGAAUUCAGUGAGUCAUCGAAUCUUUGAACGCACAUUGCGCCCUGUGGUAUUCCGCAGGGCAUGCCUGUUCGAGCGUCAUUUCAACCCUCAAGCCUCGCUUGGUGUUGGGCCCUGCCCGCCGCGGCCGGCCCUAAAGAUUGUGGCGGCGCCGCCUGGCCCUCAGCGUAGUACAGCUCUCGCUCCAGGGUCCGGCGGCAGCCUGCCAGAACCCCCCAACUCUGUGGUUGACCUCGGAUCAGGUAGGGAUACCCGCUGAACUUAAGCAUAUCAAUAAGCGGAGGA